AGUGAACGCUGGCGGUAGGCCUAACACAUGCAAGUCGAACGGCAGCACAGUAAGAGCUUGCUCUUACGGGUGGCGAGUGGCGGACGGGUGAGGAAUACAUCGGAAUCUACUUUUUCGUGGGGGAUAACGUAGGGAAACUUACGCUAAUACCGCAUACGACCUACGGGUGAAAGCAGGGGAUCUUCGGACCUUGCGCGAUUGAAUGAGCCGAUGUCGGAUUAGCUAGUUGGCGGGGUAAAGGCCCACCAAGGCGACGAUCCGUAGCUGGUCUGAGAGGAUGAUCAGCCACACUGGAACUGAGACACGGUCCAGACUCCUACGGGAGGCAGCAGUGGGGAAUAUUGGACAAUGGGCGCAAGCCUGAUCCGGCCAUACCGCGUGGGUGAAGAAGGCCUUCGGGUUGUAAAGCCCUUUUGUUGGGAAAGAAAAGCAGCAGGUUAAUACCCCGCUGUUCUGACGGUACCCAAAGAAUAAGCACCGGCUAACCCCGUG
rnacentral:rRNA from 1 species